UUACAUCUCCACAGAGUUUAGGUACUGCUU
rnacentral:piRNA from 1 species